GGAUUGCCCUAGUAACGGCGAGUGAAGCGGCAACGGCUCAAAUUUGAAAUCUGGCCCCUUCCGGGGUCCGAGUUGUAAUUUGCAGAGGAUGCUUCGGCGUCGGCCCCGGGUCAAGUCCCCUGGAACGGGGCGUCCUAGAGGGUGAGAGCCCCGUACCCGCCCGGGUGUCCCUCGCCGCGCGAAGCUCCUUCGACGAGUCGAGUUGUUUGGGAAUGCAGCUCUAAGAGGGAGGUAAAUUUCUUCUAAAGCUAAACAUCGGCCGGAGACCGAUAGCGUACAAGUAGAGUGAUCGAAAGAUGAAAAGCACUUUGGAAAGAGAGUUAAAAAGCACGUGAAAUUGUUGAAAGGGAAGCUCUUGCCGCCAGACUUGCCGCGGUUGCUCAAUCGCCCUCCGGGGCGGUGUAAUCUUCCGUCGGCGGGCCAACGUCGGUUCGGGCGGCCGGACAAAGGCCCUGGGAACGUAGCACCCCACGGGGUGUGUUACAGCCUGGGGUGUAAUGCGGUCAGCCCGGUCCGAGGGACGCGUUCGCGAGGACGUUGGCGUAAUGGUUGCAAGCGACCCGUCUUGAAACACGGACCAAGGAGUCUAACAUCUGUGCGAGUGUUUGGGCGUCAAACCCACACGCGUAAUGAAAGUGAACGGAGGUGGGAACCCCCCCGAGGGGCGCACCAUCGACCGAUCCUGAUGUCUUCGGAUGGAUUUGAGUAAGAGCAUAGCUGUUGGGACCCGAAAGAUGGUGAACUAUUCCCGGAUAGGGUGAAGCCAGAGGAAACUCUGGUGGAGGCUCGCAGCGGUUCUGACGUGCAAAUCGAUCGUCAAAUCUAGGAAUAGGGGCGAAAGACUAAUCGAACC
rnacentral:rRNA from 1 species